rnacentral:rRNA from 1 species
CACGUAGGGGGCGAGCGUUGUCCGGAUUUAUUGGGCGUAAAGAGCUCGUAGGCGGCUCGGUAAGUCGGGUGUGAAAACUCUAGGCUCAACCUAGAGACGCCACCUGAUACUGCUGUGGCUAGAGUCCGGUAGGGGAGCAUGGAAUUCCUGGUGUAGCGGUGAAAUGCGCAGAUAUCAGGAGGAACACCAGUGGCGAAGGCGGUGCUCUGGGCCGGUACUGACGCUGAGGAGCGAAAGCGUGGGGAGCAAACAGG